UCCCCCGUGAGGGGGCAGUCUCGCCUGACAUAUAUAACAGGCAACGAGGGUUGCGUUCGUUACCCCACUGAAGGGAACGAUUCAAACCACGAACUGACGACAGCCAUGCAUCACCUGUCCUACACCCUCGAAGGCUUCCUAGCUUUCGCUAGGCGUGCAGUAGGAUUUCUAGCCCUGGUAAGGUUCUUCGCUUAGCGACGAAUUGAGCCACACGCUCCACCGCUUGUGCAAGCUCCCGUCUAUUCCUUUGAGUUUUAGCCUUGCGGCCGUACUACCCAGGCGGAUGACUUAACGCGUUAGCUUCGCCUCCCAGAGGGUCGAUACUCCGAAAAGCCAGUCAUCAUCGUUUAGGGCGUGGACUA
rnacentral:misc_RNA from 1 species